AUUGAACGCUGGCGGCAUGCUUUACACAUGCAAGUCGAACGGUAACAGGCCGCAAGGUGCUGACGAGUGGCGAACGGGUGAGUAAUGCAUCGGAACGUGCCCAGUCGUGGGGGAUAACGCAGCGAAAGCUGUGCUAAUACCGCAUACGAUCUAUGGAUGAAAGCGGGGGACCGUAAGGCCUCGCGCGAUUGGAGCGGCCGAUGUCAGAUUAGGUAGUUGGUGGGGUAAAGGCCUACCAAGCCGACGAUCUGUAGCUGGUCUGAGAGGACGACCAGCCACACUGGAACUGAGACACGGUCCAGACUCCUACGGGAGGCAGCAGUGGGGAAUUUUGGACAAUGGGCGAAAGCCUGAUCCAGCCAUUCCGCGUGCAGGAUGAAGGCCCUCGGGUUGUAAACUGCUUUUGUACAGAACGAAAAGGUUUCUACUAAUACUAGGAGCUCAUGACGGUACUGUAAGAAUAAGCACCGGCUAACUACGUGCCAGCCGCCGCAGUAAUAC
rnacentral:rRNA from 1 species